UACGUAGGGUGCAAGCGUUGUCCGGAAUUAUUGGGCGUAAAGAGCUCGUAGGCGGUCUGUCGCGUCGGCUGUGAAAACCCGGGGCUCAACCCCGGGCCUGCAGUCGAUACGGGCAGACUAGAGUGUGGUAGGGGAGACUGGAAUUCCUGGUGUAGCGGUGAAAUGCGCAGAUAUCAGGAGGAACACCGGUGGCGAAGGCGACAUCCUGGGCAUUAACUGACGCUGAGGAGCGAAAGCAUGGGGAGCGAUCCGG
rnacentral:rRNA from 1 species